AGUGAACGCUGGCGGUAGGCCUAACACAUGCAAGUCGAACGGCAGCACAGUAAGAGCUUGCUCUUACGGGUGGCGAGUGGCGGACGGGUGAGGAAUACAUCGGAAUCUACUUUUUCGUGGGGGAUAACGUAGGUAAACUUACGCUAAUACCGCAUACGACCUACGGGUGAAAGCAGGGGAUCUUCGGACCUUGCGCGAUUGAAUGAGCCGAUGUCGGAUUAGCUAGUUGGCGGGGUAAAGGCCCACCAAGGCGACGAUCCGUAGCUGGUCUGAGAGGAUGAUCAGCCACCCUGGAACUGAGACACGGUCCUGACUCCUACGGGAGGCAGCAGUGGGGAAUAUUGGACAAUGGGCGCAAGCCUGAUCCAGCCAUACCGCGUGGGUGAAGAAGGCCUUCGGGUUGUAAAGCCCUUUUGUUGGGAAAGAAAAGCAGCAGGUUAAUACCCCGCUGUUCUGACGGUACCCAAAGAAUAAGCACCGGCUAACUUCGUG
rnacentral:rRNA from 1 species